GUCCUUGUAGCUUACAACCAAAGCAUGGCACUGAAGAUGCUAAGACGCUGCAUUCUCGCACCCAAGGACA